rnacentral:lncRNA from 1 species
AGUGUUUGUUAUAUAUAGACAACACUGAGCAAUAAACUAAUAUGAUUGGAGGAGGCUAGAUGGAUGAGUUAUCUGUGGGUUUUCAGUGCUUGGGCCUAAAUAACUGAUGGUUGUUUAUAUAUAGAUGCUUACAAUCAUGUGAAAUAUAAUCCACAAGGAUAUAUAUAUAUAUAUAUAUAUAUAUAUAUAUAUAUAUAUNUAAAUCAAUUAAUUGCUAUUUCAAUAAUUGAAAAUUCGAAUGUUUUCAGCUUAUAUUUUUAUUAUAUAUUAUAUUUUAAUAUACUACUUUAGUAGUAUAUAUAUAUAUAUAUAUAUAUAUAUAUAUAUAUAUAUAUAUAUAUAGGGGUUGAGUUCAACAGAGAAUUAUCUUUUUAUUCAUCAUGAACAAAUCUAUAUAUUUUACGAACAGAUCAACAUAACUGACGAAUAGACGUAUUUAGUAAAAAUAUAGAAAAACUCGCCACCAGCAGGAUUCGAACCCGGGGCAAAUUGUUGUUCAUGCGGUACAUUGAUCUGUUCAUUAAAAUUAUAGAUCUGUUCGUUUUUAUUUUACGAAUUCUCUAUUCUCCACAAUAUUUAGCUUCUCUGUUGAACCCUUUCUCUCUAUAUAUAUAUAUAUAUAUAUGUGUGUGUGUGUGUGUGUGUGUGUGUGUAGUUCAUUCUUUCUUUAAAAAAAAUUGCAUUGACGUUUUUCAUGCUCUUAGAUUUUGUUCCUGGGAAGGUGAAGGCUGAGGAAGCUUUACCACAAGUAGCAGAGGCUGAGAAAUAAUAAGGAUUGAUUAUACAUUUGCUGAGUGGCUUGAAGAAUUUCAAAAGAUCACAUUGUGAUUAUAUAUUUUUUUGUUAUUUUUGUUCUAUUUUGACUCUAGAUAGAACUAUUGUACUUUACAUUUUUUAUUAUCUUCGGAUGAUAAUUUUAGUACAAUAAUUAAUUGUUUAUAUAAUGUAUAUUUUGGAUUGUCCUAUUUGUAGUAUUUGAUGAUAUUGUAUAAUUUGUAUUUAGAAAAUUAUAAAAACAGGAAAAAAA